rnacentral:rRNA from 1 species
CGCACAAGCGGUGGAGCAUGUGGUUUAAUUCGAUGCAACGCGAAGAACCUUACCUGGGCCUGACAUGCUGGUGGUAGGAACCCGAAAGGGGGACGACCUUAGGGGUAACUCUAAGGAGCCAGCACAGGUGCUGCAUGGCUGUCGUCAGCUCGUGCCGUGAGGUGUCGGGUUAAGUCCCGCAACGAGCGCAACCCCUAUCCCCUGUUGCCAUCAGGUAAAGCUGGGCACUCUGGGGAAACUGCCGGCGACAAGCCGGAGGAAGGUGGGGAUGACGUCAAGUCCGCAUGGCCCUUAUGUCCAGGGCUACACACGUGCUACAAUGGGCGCUAUAGAGGGUAGCAAGCCCGCGAGGGUGAGCCAAUCCCUAAAAAGCGCUCUCAGUUGGGAUCGGAGUCUGCAAUUCGACUCCGUGAACCCGGAAUCGCUAGUAAUCGCGCAUCAGCUACGGCGCGGUGAAUACGUUCCCGGGCCUUGUACACACCGCCCGUCACACCACGAGAGCUGGCUUCAUCCGAAGUUGGUGAGCUAACCCGUAAGGGAGGCANCCAACGAAGAUGGGGCUGGUGAUU